UCCCUGGUGGUCCAGUGGUUAGGACUUGGUGCUCUCACUGCCAGGGGUCCAGGUUCGAUCCCUGGUUGGGGAA